GGGGGGUGUUUACAAAAGGUUUCUUUAAGGUUUGGUUUCUUGUAGCUUAGAUCAUUUAGUAUAAUGCUAUAAAGCAUAUAAACUGAUGCAUUAUCUAAUUUUAAAUUUCCAUGAUACAUUUAUUCCUUAAUUACAUAUAUAUGAUAUAUUGUGUGCCCUAAUUUUAAGUGUCAAAUUUUGGGGUUUGUUAGUGUUCAUAGACUGGCUUCACAAAUAUGUUUCUUUCUCCUCACUAAUAUUUGCAGUCUUUGGAUAUAGCACCAAGAUGUAGAUGGUUAGAUUUUUGGUUGAAGGUUACAUAGGUCCCUUGACUCGAAAUAGAUUUUAAAAUGCAUAGUAGUUUAGAAGUUCAUGCAGUUUUUUGUUAUGAUUUCCUUCGGCUAUGGGAAAUUGCAGUUAUUUUCUUAUAAACAUGAGCAUAGACAUCAUAGUUGUUCAAGGUGCUCCUUAGGUCUAAGGUCAAUCAUCUCCAUUGAUCUUGGGUCAGGCUCCAUCACUAAGUUACACUAGGCACCUAGGCAUGCUUUAACGAGUGUCUUGGCUUGCACUGAAGGGUAUCAAGGAUUUUUUUUUUUUUGGUACUCUUUGUUAGUUGGUUUUACUUGCAUCAUUGGAUGCUUUCACCUUAUGCCUUACUGGUUGUUUUUAAUUAUUGGAUGUUACAAUCUUUUUCAAUAAAUAAAUACAAUUGUAUAGCGCCAAUUUUUUGCAAGGUGAAUGCCAUGGUGUCAUUUCGUAUUCUAAUUGCAAAAUGAAGUUGCCACUUUCCCUUCCCUCUCGUUCAGGUGUCUGGAGCACUGGCAAAGACAAGUGCAUAUGGGAAGUUCUAAUGUGUUAGAAAUUAUAGAUGGUCUAACAUAAGAGGAAUGGAUGAAAAGGAAGAAGCAUCAGCUUGGGCAUGUUCCAAACAUUGUUUACUGUUGGUGCUAUGUCUUUUGCACGUUCUAAUCCACAUGAAAUUUGCGUUGCUAAUCUAGCUUGAGACCAGCUUAUGUAUCCAUUAUUUUAUUCCCUUGCAAUCUAGUAUGCAUAUUGCCUAUGCUGAACUAUUUUUAUUUGUUAUUUCCUGUGUAGUGUCCAUGUGUUAUUAUGAAUUGUUUAAUAUUUUUAUAUUCAAUUAUUAAUACUCACAAAUUGGAACAAUGUCCAAAUAUUUUAUAUUCAUUUUAAUAAAUGUAUCUAGCAUCCCUUUGGUUAAUGUCUGUGGCUUGUGUUUAGGUCCCAAUUACCUUGUACGCCUUAAGGCAUCUUAUGCUUUUGACAAGUAUGAUGUAUAUUGAAUUUGCACGAGCAUGGUUCAAAUUUUGGAAGGGAUUAAGUCAUGAAAAGAUGCUAAAUUUACGACUUUUUUUUAGAACAUCUCUCAUACUUUUUUAGGAAUAUUCUUUGGUGAGAGUGAUAUUAUAUGAUUACCUCCAUUGUUGAACUCACAAUUUCCAAUUUAUCUUCCAAGAAUGAUACAUUUUCAGAGCUUUUUGGUUUUUGUUAAUAGGUUCUAUAACAUCUUCGCAGAACAGUGAAAUUCUGUAAUUUUCAAAAGAUGAGGUAUAGAAGUUGGAAGUUGUUGAUUUAAGUCUUAAACUGCAACUUUUCAUGAGAUGCUACUCUUUUGAUGAAUGGCUAUGUUGCUAUUCAGAAAUAUUAUAUCAAACAAUUCUCUAGAAGUGGUUUUGGCAAAAAAGAAUAUAAAUCUCCACUUUUCAUAUUUAAAUGCAAGUCAUAUAAUUGGUGGACAUUUAUCAUUCUCAUUCUUCCCGUGGAAUUUCUGGAGGUAAUGGCUUUCAACUAUUUGGAAUUAUUUUGACUCUGGUAUAAGUAUCUACUCCCUUAUUUCCCAAAAUUUUGUAGAUUUUUUUCCCACUUCUUUGAAGUGUCAAACUUGUGAUCAUGACCGAGCAUCCUUACAUGAUGUGUAGUUGAGGGUAAAAUGAAAAGUUGAACUAAACAGAAUAGCUUAAGGGAUGUUGAGUUUAUUAGGGUUUGGGCUAAUUGAACUAAAUUGCACACUUAGAUGCACUUGUUGAGGUUACAAUUUCAUUUUACUAUAGUGGUUAUUCAUAUAGGCUGUGGUAAAAGAUCAGGAGGCAGAAAAGCAUGUUGAUGAAAAUUGCUGGGAAGAGGUAUGUGCAUGGUUAUUGUGGUCUUGUGAACUAGCCUAUUUUAACUGAGAUGAACUAGUCUUAUUGCUUAAUUGAUGCAAAAGAAUUGAAGCGAUGAGGGAUUCUUUUCAUGUGAUCAUGGUAUUGCUUAAGGUAGAUUUGGCAUCUAGAAUGGGCUAUUAGAGAAACUGGAACACUAACAAUUCUUCUUCCUCUUCUUCUUUAAAGAAGCAUGACAGAUUUUGUGUCAUUUGUAAAGUGGCUGCCAUUUUUCUACAAUUUCUUCUGUACAGAUGGCAAUUUAAUACCAUUUUGUUAGGUUUUAUCUGUGUCAAUGGUAGCAGGGUGGGCAUGGCUUUUGUGCCCCUUUCUCCCCCUUCCCCAUUUGCUUCAGUGAUUCUUAAAAGAUGCUAUAUAUAUAUAUAUGGGCAAUGAAUAGCUUAAUCUUUGCUUUGCCAUUCCUAUUCUUGUAACCUGUUUGUGCCAUCUAGUUUGUUGAACCCUUAAAUUUAUAUGCAAACGGGUAUAUAGGGUGUUAUCUACUCAUCCUUGAGCAAAUAAUAUG
rnacentral:misc_RNA from 1 species